AAGUCGUAACAAGGUUUCCGUAGGUGAACCUGCGGAAGGAUCAUUAACACGUAUCCAACGUUAAACCCCCUGUGAACCUUCAUUGUACGAGUUACAUCCACGUCAUAAACCGGCAAUCUCUGGUAAAUCAUCGCCGAACAGUUUUGAUUCAGAGACCUCUGGGAAGGGUGUACGGUAGUGCGAGGCAAUUGACCUGGCAUUCCUCUGCUUGUUAGUGUCUGAAAGUGUCACUAGCUAUGUACGGAUGGCGCAGUAACGAUCGCUGGAGGCCGACACGGCCGGGCCUGCGCUGAGGUGCGGCCACCCCUAAUGCUUGAACAACUGUUAACAAUGGAUAUCUUGGUUCUC
rnacentral:misc_RNA from 1 species